rnacentral:tRNA from 1 species
AUUUAAGUAAUUUAUUUAAAAAUCUUGAUUUGUGGUAUCAAAAAUAUAAGUUAAACUUAUCUUAAAUU